rnacentral:rRNA from 1 species
AUGCCGCUACGUGUCGGCGCCGCGAUCCAGCGCUCCAGGGCGGCGGCCAAGGGGCGGCGGCAGGCGGCGGCGGCGGCGGCGGCGGCCAAGGAGCGGGGCCUGCCCUUCUUCCACAGGCAGGCGGCGGCGGCGGCGGGCAAGGGGUGUCAACUGCCCACGCCCAGGCUUCUCGUCCGACCGGAGUUCGGGAUACGCCUGGCUCUUAUCCGUUCACACAAGGGCGUGGAAGGGAGGUACGAGGUCCUGGCAGCGCAGCAUCGCCUGAUGAAGCUCGACGACUAUGGUAGAUUCAGACUGGUCCAGGCUUCCAAAUUUGUCGAGGCGAAACCCAACGACCCUACCUGGUUAUACUGUCAAAGGAUUAGAAGAUUUGAAGCCUGCCUCGACUUCAAGUUCUCACUUUUUUCCAUGGCUUCCUUCCCGCUCGUUUACUGGUGCUGUCACGACAAGGACAACAAGACAGUCGCUUAG